rnacentral:rRNA from 1 species
UACAGAGGAUGCAAGCGUUAUCCGGAAUGAUUGGGCGUAAAGCGUCUGUAGGUGGCUUUUUAAGUCCGCCGUCAAAUCCCAGGGCUCAACUCUGGACAGGCGGUGGAAACUACCAAGCUGGAGUACGGUAGGGGCAGAGGGAAUUUCCGGUGGAGCGGUGAAAUGCGUAGAGAUCGGAAGGAACGCCCGUGGCGAAAGCGGGCGCCUGGACCCCACCUGACGCUGAGACGCGAAAGCCAGGGGAGCGAACGGG